AUAAGGGAGGCAGCAGGUAAGAAUCUUGCGCAAUGGGCGAAAGCCUGACGCAGCAAUUCCGCGUGGGGGACGAAGGCCCUCGGGUCGUAAACCCCUUUUUCGAGGGAAGAAGUUCUGACGGUACCUCGCGAAUAAGACACGGCUAACUACGUGCCAGCAGCCGCGGUAAUAAGUAGGUGGCGAGCGUUGUCCGGAUUUAUUGGGCGUAAAGAGCGCGCAGGCGGCUUGCCAAGUUCGAGGUGAAAUCUCCCGGCUCAACCGGGAGGGUGCCUCGAAAACUGGCAGGCUUGAGGCAGGGAGAGGGAUGUGGAAUUCCCGGUGUAGUGGUGAAAUGAGUAGAUAUCGGGAGGAACACCAGUGGCGAAGGCGGCAUCCUGUCCCUGUCCUGACGCUCAGGGGGGAAAGCGUGGGGAGCAAACCGGAUUAGAUACCCGGGUAGUUCACGCCGUAAACGAUGAGUACUAGGUGUAGGGGGUAUCGACCCCCUCGGUGCCGAAGCUAACGCGAUAA
rnacentral:rRNA from 1 species